rnacentral:rRNA from 1 species
CAUCACUACGCUAGAUGCAUAUCAAUAAGCGGAGGAAAAGAAACUAACAAGGAUUCCCCUAGUAACGGCGAGUGAAGCGGGAAGAGCUCAAAUUUGAAAUCUUAAAGGGUUUCCCUUUACGAAUUGUAGUUUAAAGAAGUGUUUUCUGUUGGAGUUUCGGUAAAAGUUCUUUGGAAUAGGACAUCAUAGAGGGUGAGAAUCCCGUAUUUGACCGUUACUUUCCAGCUGUGUGAUACACUUUCAAAGAGUCGGAUUGUUUGGGAAUGCAGUCCAAAAUGGGUGGUAAAUUUCAUCUAAAGCUAAAUAUUGGCGAGAGACCGAUAGCGAACAAGUACCGUGAGGGGAAGAUGAAAAGAACUUUGAAAAGAGAGUUAAACAGUACGUGAAAUUGUCAAAAGGGAAGCGUUUGACACCAGUGUUGUUUAGUUGAAAAUCAAUUCAAUAAUUUUUGAUUUUGAGUAGUAUUGACUUCAUCAGCUUGCUGCUUUCUUUACAGAAAUUAUUGAAUGCACUUUUCAGUUAACAAGUCAACAUCAAUUUCUUUUGUUGUAAAAGGGUAAGAGGAAGGUGGCUUACGCUUCGGCGUAAGUGUUUAUAGCCUUUUACCUCUGCAAUCGGAGAGAUUGAGGACAGCAGCGUAGACUCUUCGGGGUUAGAUACACUUGUGCUAAGCUAUAGCCUUGUAUAGACAACUUGUUGACUAUGCUCAGUCAUGUAGCUUACUCGCUUGUGCUAUUUUACCUACGCUUAGGAUGUUGACGAGACUGUCGAUCUC